ACCUACGGGGGGCAGCAGUCGAUAAUCCUUCACAAUUUUUUAAACCCUGAUGGUGCGACGCCGCGUGGGGGAAUGAAGGUCUUCGGAUUGUAAACCCCUGUCAUGUGGGAGCAAAUUAAAAAGAUAGUACCACAAGAGGAAGAGACGGCUAACUCUGUGCCAGCAGCCGCGGUAAUACAGAGGUCUCAAGCGUUGUUCGGUAUCACUGGGCGUAAAGCGUGCGUAGGCUGUUUCGUAAGUCGUGUGUGAAAGGCGCGGGC
rnacentral:rRNA from 1 species